GACGAACGCUGGCGGCGUGCUUAACACAUGCAAGUCGAACGGUAAGGCCCUUCGGGGUACACGAGUGGCGAACGGGUGAGUAACACGUGGGUGAUCUGCCCUGCACUUCGGGAUAAGCCUGGGAAACUGGGUCUAAUACCGGAUAGGACCACUGCCUGCAUGGGUGGUGGUGGAAAGCUUUUGCGGUGUGGGAUGGGCCCGCGGCCUAUCAGCUUGUUGGUGGGGUGAUGGCCUACCAAGGCGACGACGGGUAGCCGGCCUGAGAGGUUGACCGGCGACACUGGGAAUGAGAUACGGACCAGACUCCUACGGGAGGCAGCAGUGGGGAAUAUUGCACAAUGGGCGCAAGCCUGAUGCAGCGACGCCGCGUGAGGGAUGACGGCCUUCGGGUUGUAAACCUCUUUCAGCACCGACGAAGCGCAAGUGACGGUAGGUGCAGAAGAAGGACCGGCCAACUACGUGCCAGCCGCCGCCGUAAGAC
rnacentral:rRNA from 1 species